AGUCGAGCGGAUGAAGGGAGCUUGCUCCUGGAUUCAGCGGCGGACGGGUGAGUAAUGCCUAGGAAUCUGCCUGGUAGUGGGGGAUAACGUCCGGAAACGGGCGCUAAUACCGCAUACGUCCUGAGGGAGAAAGUGGGGGAUCUUCGGACCUCACGCUAUCAGAUGAGCCUAGGUCGGAUUAGCUAGUUGGUGGGGUAAAGGCCUACCAAGGCGACGAUCCGUAACUGGUCUGAGAGGAUGAUCAGUCACACUGGAACUGAGACACGGUCCAGGCUCCUACGGGAGGCAGCAGUGGGGAAUAUUGGACAAUGGGCGAAAGCCUGAUCCAGCCAUGCCGCGUGUGUGAAGAAGGUCUUCGGAUUGUAAAGCACUUUAAGUUGGGAGGAAGGGCAGUAAGUUAAUACCUUGCUGUUUUGACGUUACCAACAGAAUAAGCACCGGCUAGCUUCGUGCCAGCAGCCGCGGUAAUACGAAGGGUGCAAGCGUUAAUCGGAAUUACUGGGCGUAAAGCGCGCGUAGGUGGUUCAGCAAGUUGGAUGUGAAAUCCCCGGGCUCAACCUGGGAACUGCAUCCAAAACUACUGAGCUAGAGUACGGUAGAGGGUGGUGGAAUUUCCUGUGUAGCGGUGAAAUGCGUAGAUAUAGGAAGGAACACCAGUGGCGAAGGCGACCACCUGGACUGAUACUGACACUGAG
rnacentral:rRNA from 1 species